GAUUAUGGCUCAGGAUGAACGCUAGCGGCAGGCUUAACACAUGCAAGUCGAGGGGCAUCGGGAGUAGCAAUACUUGCCGGCGACCGGCGCAAGGGUGCGUAACGCGUGAGCAACAUGCCCGUAUCAGGGGGAUAAUCCAUGGAAACGUGGUCUAAUACCCCAUAGUAAUUAUGUAAGGCAUCUUAUAUAAUUUAAAGCUUUGGUGGAUACGGAUUGGCUCGCGUGACAUUAGCUGGAUGGUAAGGUAACGGCUUACCAUGGCUACGAUGUCUAGGGGUUCUGAGAGGAAGGUCCCCCACACUGGAACUGAGACACGGUCCAGACUCCUACGGGAGGCAGCAGUGAGGAAUAUUGGACAAUGGAUGGAAAUCUGAUCCAGCCAUGCCGCGUGCCAGGAAGACGGCCCUAUGGGUUGUAAACUGCUUUUGUAUAGGAGCAAUAAGGGCUACGUGUAGUCCGAUGAGAGUACCAUACGAAUAAGCACCGGCUAACUCCGUGCCAGCCGCGGC
rnacentral:rRNA from 1 species